AACCUGAUCUCUGCUUCAGAGCUGUGAUACUCUCACUCCUUGUGGAUUGCUGCAAUGUCUCGAUAGCUCCUCCACCUCUACGCUCAAGAGCGCCCAUCAUUGCUUUGCUCUGUUUCUGGAGUAAGAUGCAGGAGGAGUAGAGAAUAUUCCAGAUGCUGGAACAGAGGCAUGGAGAGACAUCAUGUCUUGGGCUGGGUUUCCCAAGAGUCGGACAUUAAAAGGAGUCUGAGAAGGGAAGAGCUGCUCUGUGGAGGUCUCCCAGGUCAAAAGGGCUCGGUCACUGAGGAGCAAGCUGGGGCUGCUGCUGAAUGUGCCUUGGAGUUUUGGAACGAGAACAAUAAAAAUAAGCGUGUUAUGCCGACUCUUGUUUCGUUCACCAGCUGAGGUUUCCUGGGGCAGAGUUCUUGAGGGCAGGGUUGAGUUGUUGAGUGUGGGGAAGGCGUUCUUGUUUGGAAGUUCAAGCUGCUACACACACACACACACUAGGGGGAAAGAGGGGUGUUCUGUAGGUCUGGAGGAGACUGAGUAUCCAUUCUAGCCUGUGCUCAUCACCAUUGAUCCCAUGGUCACCUCUAUUUUGAAAACUGUUUGGGGGGCUGGCUGUCAGGGCUCUGUGGUUUGGCAGAAGUCACUGGGAUCCUAGGAUCCCCCUUUUCUCCUGGUCCAGCAGGCUCUUUACCUAUCUGCUCCAAAGCCUCUGCACUUGGGAAUCCAGAAAGACCCAGGCUCUCUGGAGUCCGAGGAUCCAGGAGAGACAGUUAUUUGAACACACUACACUCCACGCUUCUCCUAUCCAGUGCAUGAACAGAAACCCAGAGUGCAGAGAUGGCUGUAAAGCCUUUCUGGAAGAGAAGACGUGUCAGAAGAAGGUGAUUCUCUGUCCCCUGACCUCUGGGAAGAGCUCCAGGCAGGAGAAAUUUACAAAAUUCCUUUCUUUACCCACCCAGCUUUGAAUUUCAUGGAAAACAAAAAAGACAAGCCAAAAAACGAAGAAGCUUUGCUAGAGUCUGUGGAAUGAUUUGAGUGUCUUGGAUCUAGGUUUCUGUCCUUGUCAACCUACCAACUGGGUGUGUUUGGGUAAGAAUUCUCUGCAAGCCUCAGUUUCCCCAAGUAUGAACAGACGGUAGUAUAGGAUCUUCUGUCUUGCUUAAGGACAGACACGUCAGUCUUGAGGUAAGACAGCCCAAUUCUUGGUGUAGAGCAAGG
rnacentral:lncRNA from 1 species